ACGCUAGCGGCAGGCCUAACACAUGCAAGUCGAGGGAGGAGCUUUCGGGCUUCGACCGGCGUACGGGUGCGUAACGCGUAUACAAUCUGCCUUUCACAUAGGGAUAGCCCGAAGAAAUUUGGAUUAAUACCUAAUAGUAUAUAGAUGUGGCAUCACCUUUAUAUUAAAGCUGAGGCGGUGAAAGAUGAGUAUGCGUUCUAUUAGCUAGUUGGAGAGGUAACGGCUCCCCAAGGCGACGAUAGAUAGGGGUUCUGAGAGGGAUAUCCCCCACACUGGUACUGAGAUACGGACCAGACUCCUACGGGAGGCAGCAGUGAGGAAUAUUGGACAAUGGUCGGAAGACUGAUCCAGCCAUGCCGCGUGCAGGAAGACGGCCUUAUGGGUUGUAAACUGCUUUUGCAGGGGAAGAAUAAGGACUACGAGUAGUUUGAUGACGGUACUCUGCGAAUAAGCAUCGGCUAACUCCGUGCCAGCAGCCGCGGUAAUACGGAGGAUGCGAGCGUUAUCCGGAAUUAUUGGGUUUAAAGGGUCCGUAGGCGGGCUAAUAAGUCAGAGGUGAAAGCGCUCAGCUCAACUGAGCAACUGCCUUUGAAACUGUUAGUCUUGAAUGGUUGUGAAGUAGUUGGAAUGUGUAGUGUAGCGGUGAAAUGCUUAGAUAUUACACAGAACACCGAUAGCGAAGGCAUAUUACUAACAAUUAAUUGACGCUGAUGGACGAAAGCGUGGGGAGCGAACAGGAUUAGAUACCCUGGUAGUCCACGCUGUAAACGAUGGAUACUAGCUGUUUGGUUGUCAAGACUGAGUGGCUAAGCGAAAGUGAUAAGUAUCCCACCUGGGGAGUACGCACGCAAGUGUGAAACUCAAAGGAAUUGACGGGGGCCCGCACAAGCGGUGGAGCAUGUGGUUUAAUUCGAU
rnacentral:rRNA from 1 species